UACGGGGGGUGCGAGCGUUAAUCGGAAUUACUGGGCGUAAAGCGUGCGCAGGCGGUGAUGUAAGACAGAUGUGAAAUCCCCGGGCUCAACCUGGGAACUGCAUUUGUGACUGCAUCGCUGGAGUGCGGCAGAGGGGAUGGAAUUCCGCGUGUAGCAGUGAAAUGCGUAGAUAUGCGGAGGAACACCGAUGGCGAAGGCAAUCCCCUGGGCCUGCACUGACGCUCAUGCACGAAAGCGUGGGGAGCAAACAGG
rnacentral:rRNA from 1 species